GGUGGAGCCGGUGACCCGAGCUGGUAGUAGGUGAGUGAUGGGGUGACGCAGGAAGGUAGUCCAUCCCGGGCGGUGGUUGUCCCGGGGUAAGGGUGUAGGACGUCAGGUAGGCAAAUCCGCCUGACACAUAGUCUGAGACCUGAUGCCGAGCCGAUUGUGGUGAAGUGGAUGAUCCUAUGCUGUCGAGAAAAGCCUCUAGCGAGUUUCAUGGCGGCCCGUACCCUAAACCGA
rnacentral:ncRNA from 2 species